rnacentral:rRNA from 1 species
CCUACGGGGGGCAGCAGUGGGGAAUAUUGCACAAUGGGGGGAACCCUGAUGCAGCGACGCCGCGUGAGUGAAGAAGUAUUUCGGUAUGUAAAGCUCCAUCAGCAGGGAAGAAAAUGACGGUACCUGACUAAGAAGCCCCGGCUAACUACGUGCCAGCAGCCGCGGUAAUACGUAGGGGGCAAGCGUUAUCCGGAUUUACUGGGUGUAAAGGGAGCGCAGACGGCUGUGCAAGGCUGGAGUGAAAGGCGGGGG